UGGGGAAUUUUGCACAAUGGGGGAAACCCUGAUGCAGCGACGCCGCGUGAACGAAGAAGGUAUUCGUAUCGUAAAGUUCUGUCCUAUGGGAAGAUAAUGACAGUACCAUAGAAGAAAGCUCCGGCUAAAUACGUGCCAGCAGCCGCGGUAAUACGUAGGUCCCGAGCGUUGUCCGGAUUUAUUGGGCGUAAAGCGAGCGCAGGCGGUUAGAUAAGUCUGAAGUUAAAGGCAGUGGCUCAACCAUUGUAGGCUUUGGAAACUGUUUAACUUGAGUGCAGAAGGGGAGAGUGGAAUUCCAUGUGUAGCGGUGAAAUGCGUAGAUAUAUGGAGGAACACCGGUGGCGAAAGCGGCUCUCUGGUCUGUAACUGACGCUGAGGCUCGAAAGCGUGGGGAGCGAACAGG
rnacentral:rRNA from 1 species